GACGAACGCUGGCGGCGUGCCUAAUACAUGCAAGUCGAGCGGCUCCGCGCUUCUUUGAAGCGCUGGGUAGCGGCGGACGGGUGAGUAACACGUAGGCAACCUGCCUGAAGGACCGGGAUAACUAACGGAAACGUUAGCUAAGACGGGAUACGCGAUCCUUUGGCAUCAAAGGAUCGGGAAAGACGGAGCAAUCUGUCGCCUUCGGAUGGGCCUGCGGCGCAUUAGCUAGUAGGUGGGGUAACGGCUCACCUAGGCGACGAUGCGUAGCCGACCUGAGAGGGUGAACGGCCACACUGGGACUGAGACACGGCCCAGACUCCUACGGGAGGCAGCAGUAGGGAAUCUUCGGCAAUGGACGCAAGUCUGACCGAGCAACGCCGCGUGAGUGAUGAAGGGUUUCGGCUCGUAAAACUCUGUUGCCAGGGAAGAACGCCGGUGAGAGUAACUGCUCAUCGGGUGACGGUACCUGAGAAGAAAGCCCCGGCUAACUACGUGCCAGCCGCCGCGGUAA
rnacentral:rRNA from 1 species